AUACCCGGUAACUCAGCUGAAAACACAUCCCCGAAUUCUCGCACAACUGGGAUAUCUUCAAUCUUGACGUUUCCUCCGUCACUUACCGAAAUGCUAGCCAAAUAGGCUACACAACCUCUCCGAAUCAACUGUCGCGCUCGCGAAGAGCUAAUAGUCAUUGCGAAUAAUGAACUCUGACACCCCUUAUAAACAAACUCUUACUGACCCGGUUCCCUAAA
rnacentral:lncRNA from 1 species